rnacentral:rRNA from 1 species
UACAUAGGGAGCAAGCGUUAUCCGGAAUGAUUGGGCGUAAAGCGCGUGUAGGUGGUUGUCCAAGUUGGAUGUGAAAGCCUUGAGCUCAACUCAAGAAAUGCAUUCAGGACUGGGCGGCUAGAGGACCGGAGAGGAUAGUGGAAUUCCCAGUGUAGUGGUGAAAUACGUAGAGAUUGGGAAGAACACCAGUGGCGAAGGCGGCUAUCUGGACGGUUUCUGACACUAAGACUCGAAAGCGUGGGGAGCAAACAGG